CUAUGCCCCGGAUAGACGAGCUCCUAGACAAAAUGGCCAGAGGCCAGUACCUCACCACAAUAGAUCUGUGCAAGGGGUACUGGCAAAUUCCAUUAGCCAAGGAUGCCAUCCACAAGUCGGCAUUUGUCACCUCGUUUGGCCUGUAUCAGUUUAAGGUCAUGCCAUUCGGGAUGAAGAAUGCCCCGGCUAACUUUCAGAGGAUGGUAGAUCGGCUACUGGAUGGGUUUCAGGAGUAUGCCUGCACCUACUUGGAUGAUAUAGCCAUUUUUAGCUGCUCCUGGCCCGAAC